rnacentral:rRNA from 1 species
CCGGCGACCGGCGCACGGGUGAGUAACACGUAUGCAACCUGCCCGUCUCAGGGGGAUAAUCGUCGGAAACGGCGUCUAAUACCCCGUAUGAAGCUGGACGGCAUCGUCUGGUUUUGAAGGAAUAUCGGAGACGGAUGGGCAUGCGGCGCAUUAGCUAGUUGGCGGGGUAACGGCCCACCAAGGCGACGAUGCGUAGGGGUUCUGAGAGGAAGGUCCCCCACACUGGUACUGAGACACGGACCAGACUCCUACGGGAGGCAGCAG